GUUGGAACACCGGUUCUCCUACGAUGACCAAAGUUAAGCAACGUCAAGCCUCGUCAGUACCUAGAUGGGUGAUCACUCGGGAAUACCAGAUGCUGCAAG